AGUAGCAGAUAUGCUGAAGAGGCCAGUAAUAAACCAAAUGAGUCAAAUAGGAUGAUUUCCUUGAAUAAGAUCCUGGCUGAGGAAACAGAAUGUAGGGCACAGGUAGAAUGAUUUAUCCCAUAGCAAAGAAUAAAAAGCAUUAUUUCUUCCACUGAGACAAGAAAUAAGGAAGAGACAGCUGGGAAUGAAACUAUUAGCAUUUUCUGAAUGUUGCAGGGGAUAUGGGAAAACUGGGACACUGAUACAUUGUUAGUGGAAUUGUGAAAUACAUCCAGCCAUUCUGAAGAGUGAUUUGGAACUAUGCCCCAAAAGUUAUCAAACUGUGCAUACCCUUUGAUCCAGCAGUAUUAUUGGGCUUUUAUCCCAAAGAGAUCUUAAAGAAGGGAAAGGGACCUGUCUGUGCAAGAAUGCUUGUAGCAGCCCUUUUUGUGAUGGCUAGAAACUGAAAACUGAGUGGAUGCCCAUCAAUUGGAGAAUGGCUGAAUAAAUUGUGGUAUAUGAAUGUUAUGGUUCUGUAAGAAAUGACCAGCAGGAUGAUUUCAGAAAGGCCUGGAGAGACUUACAUUGUAGAACUGAUGUUGAGUGAAAUGAGCAGGACCAGGAGAUCAUUAUAUACUUCAAAAUGUGAAGUAUGUGAUAUGAUGAUCAAUUCUGAUGGAUGUAGCCCUCUUCAACAAUGAGAUAAACCAAAUCAGUUCCAACAGAGCAGUAAUGAAUAGAAUCAGCUACACCCAGCAAAAGAACUCUGGGAAAUGAGUGUGAACCAUUCUACAUAGCAUUUCCAAUCCCUGUUUUUGUCCACUUGCAUUUUUGAUUUUCUUCUCAGGUUAAUUUUAACUUAUUUCAAAGUCCGAUUCUUUUUGUGCAGCAAAAUAACUGUAUGGAUAUAUAUACAUAUAUUGUAUUUAACAUAUACUUUAACAUAUUUAAUAUGCAUAGGUCUACCUGCCAUCUGGGGGAGGGAGUGGGGGAGUGGAACAGAAGAUUUUGCAAGGGUCAAUGCUGAAAAAUUACCCAUGCAUAUAUCUUGUAAAUAAAAAGCUAUAAUAAUAAUAAAAAGAAACUAUUAGCAUUUCUCAGAAAAGUGAACUUCAGCUUGUAAGCAUUUUUACUUUGGGCUUUACUGGCUAGAUCUUAAGGAGGCCUUAAAGCAAAACCAAUCUGAUUCAAAUUGGUCAACAGGUCCUAGGCCAAGCCCAAUUUGGUCAUUGGGUCCUGACUAACUUAGAUUGAAUGUAAAUAGCAGUCAUUUCUGCUUUGGCCAGAGGUGCUGAAACUCUUCCCUUCCCAGAUUCAUUCAUUCAUUUAUUUAGAUUUUUUUUUUUGACUAGCUGAAAAAGGAGGUUUGAUUGAGGUAACUAAAACCAGUUGAAGACCUUAGCUUAAAAAGACCAAGCUCUCUUGUUGCAUCCAGGGCCAUCUCUAGUCCUGAUCUAUAUCUGGCCACAGGACCCAAUGGCUCCGGAGGAGAAAGUGAGCAGGUGACCUUGCACAGCUUUCCACUAAAUCCAAUUCACUUGCAUGUCACAGCAUCACCUCCCUGAUGUCAGGAUCCUCUUUGAGAAUGAAAAACAACCACUACAAUUUUCCUCAAUUUGAAAUUGAACAGUUUUAUUCCUGACUGUCCUGUUUCUGGCUCGGUGUUUUCCACUUCAAACCAUCCAUAGGUUUAGAGACUGGUUCAGGUGCAACUGACCAUCUACAGACUAUAAAGAUUACUUUUCUUGAAAAUUAUUAAUGAGAAGUUUUGCUGUUUAAAAAGGUAAAGUGUCAGCUACCCAGAAAAAUCAGCCCAUCUAAGGGUUCUGAAUUUUACAGUUUUACAGUAUAUAAUUUUCAGUAUCUUUAAUUAAGAGUUUGGAUUCUGCAUCAAUAACAACAAGUUCAUCAUUAUGUAACAUUUUGUAAACAUUCUUUCAAACAAAUUAAAGAAUGGAGUAUUCCAUUUGGAAUCAGAAAACUAGUAUCAUUGCUGAUGUCCUUUGUAAUGUUGAAAAAUAUUUAUUUUUAUUCUUGUCAAUGAAAACAAAUCUAACUUGCUUCUAAUUAUAAACUGGUUUGAAGAUAUCAAAUAAUUUCUCAAUAUGUUGAUCUCUUUAGAGAAGAAUUACUAAUUAAUGCUAUAAUUCACAAAAUUCUAAUAAACCAACUUGAUACAAUAUUCAAUAUAGAUGCAAUACAGAUACGAUUUAUAUAAUUUUAAAUGAACACCUAAAACAUGUUAUGGAGUGUGUGUAUGUGUAUACACACAUACACACUUUUCACAUCUAUAGUCAAGAAUGGGGGAGGAAGAGGAAAAGGGAGGAGAAAGAAAUGCAUUAAUUAAAAUCUUGCAGAAUGUCAGUUUUGUGCUUAUGAUUACUAAAGUGUUAUAUCUAAUAAGAGUUUGAGCAAACUGUGAUGGGCUUGGUUCUUUCAACAAUGAGGUGGAUUCAAGGAAAUUUCAAUAAACUUGUGAUGGAAAGAGCUAUCUGGAGAAAGAACUAUGGAGACUGAAUGUGGAUCAAAGCAUGAUGAUGUUUUCACCUUUUUUUGGUGGUGAUGUUUUGUUGCUUGUUUUUUUUUUUUUUUUCUUUCUCAUGUUCUCCCCUUCCCCCUUUUUGGUCUGUUUUUUUUUUUUUUUUUUACACAGUAUGACAACUAUGUAAAUGUUUAGAAGAAUUGCAUAUGUCUAAACUAGAGUGGAUUGCUUGCAGUCUAGGGGAGAGAAGUGAGAGAGUUGGGAAAGGGAGGGACCUUUUGCAAAAAUGAAUGUUGAAAAUUAUUUUGGCAUUUUUUUUGAAAAAUAAAAAGCUAUUUUUAAAAAAGAAGUUUUCAUAUUUCAAAAUUUAAAAAAAGUUAUGAUAAAGAGUACACAUCAGAAGAAAAACAAAUUAAGAUUGGAACUAUCACGAGUGGAUCUGGAAUACAAUACACAUACUUCAUUUCACUUUAAUAAGCAUCAUGUAGAAACACUGUCUCCUCUUUCUCCACCCUCACCAUCUUCAAUUCUAGGUAACCUCUGCUAUCCAAUUUCUCCAUUCCUACCGCUUCCUUGGUUGCUGAGCAUCAUUGUAGAAAAUCACAAAGUUGAGUCCAUUUCAAAUAGUACAAAUUUAUUAUAAGAAAACCUUUGGUAAUUCCCCAAGUGCUACUUCUCUCUACUCUUACUGACUCCCUAUUUCACUCUCCAAAUAAUUACUACAAAAUCGAUAGUUUCCAACUUUAUUCCCACAAAUGAUAUUGCCUCUUACUUUACAAAGACUGAAGUUAUUUUUCUGACAACAAUUUUCUCAACUUCUCUCCAUGAAGCCUUUCAGCUUCAUUUCCAACUGUCUCUUCCUUAUUUCUUGUCUCAGUGGAAUAGAUAACGCCUUCUAUUCCUUAACAAAAAUCAACCUACCUGUGCCCUACAUUGUUUCCUCAGCCAAGACUUUAUAAAUCAUCCUACUUGCCUCAAAUCUCCCUCCAAGUACCCUUAUCUCACUAUUCCUUAACAUCUUCUUAUAAACAAACUCUCAAUUCUUCACUUCUAAAAAGCACCUUUUCCUCAGCUUUCUACUUCAUUAAAUUUCCAUUCUUUUUCUUUCCAUUCCCUGCCAGACUUUUAAAUUCCAAAGUGUCAAAUUAGUCUCUUCAAUCACUGGUAACCUCUUCAUUUAGGAUUGUGUAAUUUUUUGCAAUCUGUUUUUUCCUCUAUGAUUCUAAUGAAAUUGCUUUUCUCAAAGGUUACCAACUACCUUCUUAUUCCUUAAUCAUAUGGCUUUUUUUCAUGUCUCUUGACCUCUCCAGCAUGUAAAAGUACUGAGGUUUAACAAUCUUCCCUUAUUUUCUGAUUUCACACUUCCUUGGUUUCCUCAAUCUCUUUAAUCCACUUGUGUUUCACUCUCUUUCUCUGGAGUCCCUAAAAUAGAUCUCAAAGAUUCUGUCUGUAGUUCUCUUCUCUUUAUGUGAAUAUGCCAUCUUCCCUUGACAAUCACAUUCACUCCCACAUCUUCAAUGACCUUCAAUGUCUUCUAUCAAGACAAUGUUAUUUCUCUGUCCCAUCUCUCUUUUUAUGGGCUAGUCAUUUUGCCUGAAAUAUUCUCCCUCCAUAUGAUAUUUAUAUUUCAUUUCUGCCUCCCAUUUUUCCUUUCCCAGAAACAAAAAUCCUCUAGCUUUAAAACAUAUGUCCAUUUUACAUUUCUACUGGAGAAGUAAAGAAAAAGCACACCACAAAAUUCUAGUUCUUUCUCUGCUUCUUUUGUCUAGCAUGCCUUUUCUGGAAUAGUCCAUGCUUCAAAGCCCCACUGUAAACAUUUCCACACUCAAUGUAUUUGUGCCAAUAGUUUCUUCCUAGUAUAUAACCCAAGAUGUGGGUAACUUUCAAAAUAAAUCCAUGAUCCUGGCCUAUUUUACUAAGGGGCCUGGUCUUUAAAUGUUUUAGGAUGAUUUGUACACAAAUCUGUUCACACAGUUUCAGUCAUAAAUGCUUUAUUUGGGGAAGGGUCAUCUCUAAUCCCAGUGUGGAGGAUUAACAUCUCCAAUACUCACAAAUAGGUAUAAUACAAUGUAGAAGGUGAUAAAAGGCAAAGGAACUAAGCAGUUAAUUGUCUAUUUCUGGAAUGUAUUCCCAGGUGAGAAGAACUAGCAACUGACUCAUGACUUAGUUUAGCUUUGCUACAAUACAUACAUAGUACUUUAAGGAUUACGAAGUGCUUUACAAAUAUUCUCUCAUUUGACCCUCACAACAAACCCAGGAGAUAGAUGUUUCCCAAAGCUCUCUCCCCCCACAAUCUGGAAAAAAAAUUUUUUCCCAUCUUGAAUUUUUCUAUAACAUUUUGUCUGAAUCUCUCCUUUGUUCCUACAUUGUAAAAUGUAUCAUUUAUUUAUAUAUACAAAGUCAGAAAAUCCUGGAUUUGGAAUUCAGAUCUAGGUUUGAAUAUUAGUGCCACUAUAACAUAAUGGCAUGGCUAUUUUCUUAGAUAAGGCAAAAUUCUGAGGACAUGCCCAGGAUUAUAUAUUUCAGAGGUAAAUGGAAUCCAUGAAUAUUUCUGACCAAAAGAUGGGCAUAAUCUCACGCCAUGGAAAAAUUGUCAGCUGUAUGAGAAAGGACUAGAGAAGAAAAGGAAUGACAACUAUGAAUCCAAUUAGGAAGCUAUCACAGUCCAGGUAAGAGCCCACAAGGAGACUAAACAGAAAAUAAAGAUAACUCAGUCUUUUCCUUGUUCUCUACAUCUUAAUGUUGCUUUUUAGUUUAUAGAGAGAAUGAGAGGGAUUUAAAAGAUGUUUAGCUCAUACAGUCCUUUUUUUUUUUUAAUUUUAUUUUAUUUUAUAAUAACUUUAUAUUGACAGAAUCCAUGCCUGGGUAAUUUUUUAACAACAUUAUCCCUUGCACUCACUUCUGUUCUGAUUUUUCCCCUUCCUCCCUCCCUCCACCCCUCCCCUAGAUGGCAAGCAGUCCUAUAUAUGUUAGAUAUGUUGCAGUAUAUCCUAGAUACAAUAUAUGUUUGCAGAACCGAACAGUUCUCUUGUUGCACAGGGAAAAUUGGAUUCAGAAGGUAAAAAUAACCCGGGAAGAAAAACAAAAAUGCAAAUAGUUCACAUUCGUUUCCUGUAAUGGGCUAAGGCUUGAGUUGAUGCACUGAGGUCCCAAGCACAUGAGGCUAAAUAGUAACUGGACCAUACUCUAUUAAUAUAUAUGCUUGGAGAAAGAAUGGCCCCCGCCCACUCUUUGUGCAAGUCCUGAUGUGUUGUAUAGGAAAUGACGAUUUUGGUGGGUGGAAGCAAGGGAGUGGAAAAGGAAGGGGAAGGAGAGAUUGCUUGCAUUGCCAUUGCAACUACUUUUCAGCUCAGAUCCCCCUCUGUUAGCUGGCUUCCUGUCGCAGCUGCCCAUAUUGCUAUCGCAAUCUUUCUUGCCCAUAUUGCUAUCACAAUCCUUAUUCACCUCUUCACUUCAAUAAAGAUUGAAGAUUUUUCCCUUAACCUGAAUUCCUGACUCCGGCUGAUUUUAAAUACGCGGUCAUUACAGUUUCCCAGUGUUCUUUCUUUGGGUGUAGCUGCUUCUGUCCAUCAUUUAUCAACUGAAACUCAGUUAGGUCUCUUUGUCAAAGAAAUCCACUUCCAUCAGAAAACCUCCUCAUACAAUAUCGUUGUUGAAGUGUAUAAUGAUCUCCUGGUUGUGCUCAUUUCACUUAGCAUCAGUUCAUGUAAGUCCAAGCCUCUCUGUAUUCAUCCUGCUGGUCAUUUCUUACAGAACAAUAAUAUUCCAUAACAUUCAUAUACCACAAUUUACCCAGCCAUUCUCCAAUUGAUGGGCAUCCAUUCAAUUUCCAGUUUCUAGCCACUACCAACAGGGAUGCCACAAACAUUUUGGCACAUACAGGUCCCUUUCCCUUCUUUAGUAUCUCUUUGGAGUAUAAGCCCAGUAGUUAGCUCAUGCAAUCCUAACUGGGUAAAUUCUUUUAUUUCAUUUCAAUCAGGUCUUCAAUGCAGAAAGGCAGUCCUUUAAUGCCCACUCUCCUGGGGAUUGUUCCACACUUUCUCUUUUUUCAAACUUUCCACUUCACCCUCUCCUUCAAUUCUGUCAAAAGAAGAAUUUAGAGUACAAUUGACUCAGAAAAUAAAGAUAACUCAGUCUUUUCCUUGUCCUCUACAUCUCAAUGUUGCUUUUUAGUCAUUAUCACUCAAGUUUUCCUGACUCCAGGCAAGCAAUUUGAGAUGUUAUAUAUACAAAGACAGUCAUGCAUAACAUGCAUAACACUUCCCCUGUUGUGAAAGAAAACACAAAAAAAAAGUUAAAAAAAAAAAAGUAAUACUUGAUCUGCAUUCAAACUGUUGUUUCAUUUUUAAAAUAAAAUUUUCAGAAUUGUUUUUGACCACUGUAUUACUGAAAAUUGCUCUCAUUCAAAAUUUUACCAUCAUAUUGUUAAGGUAUAAAAUGUUCUGGUUCUAGUCAUUUCACUUAACAUCAGCUCAUCUAAGUCCAGGUUUUUCUGAGAGCAUCCUACUCAUCAUUUCUUAUAGUACAAUAGUAUUCCAUCACAAUCGUGUAUUAUAAUUUCUUCAACUAUCCCCCAGUUAAUGGAUGUCCCUUCAAUUUCUAAUUCUUUGCAAUCAUUAAAAGAGCAGCUAUAAAUAAUUUUGUAGAGGUCCUUCUUUUGUUUUUUUAUCUUUUUUGGGAUACCAACCUAGAAGUAGUAUUGCUCGAUCAAAGAAUAUACAUGGUUUUAUAACCCUUUGGGCAUAGUUCCAAACUGUUCUACAGAAUGAUUUAAUCAAUAUACAACUUCAAUUUCCCUACCUCCCCUCCAAUAUGUCAUUUUUCUUUUCUGUCAUAUUAGUCAAUCUGAUGAGUGUGGAGUGGUACCUCAGUUAUUUUAAUUUGCAAUCUCUACUAUAAUGACUAUAAUUAGACCAUUUUUUCUUUUUUCUUUCAGGAGUCUUUUAAAAAAUUUUCUUUUAUUAUAACUUUUUAUUGACAGAACAUAUGCAUGGGUAAUUUAAAUGGUAUUUAAGAUAAAUACAAUAUAUGUGUUCAUAUUUAUACACACACACACACACACACUCUCUUGUUGCACAAGAAAAAUUGGAUUUAGAAGAAAAACAAAAAUGCAAGCAGUUCACAUUCUUUCCCCAGUGUUCUUUCUCUAGGUGUAGCUGGUUCUGUCCAUCAUUGAUCAAUUGGAACUGAAUCGGAUCUUCUCAUUGUCGAAGAUAUCCACUUCCAUCUGAAUAUAUCCUCAUAUAGUAUUGUUGUUGAAGUAUAGAAUGAUCUCCUGAUUCUACUCAUUUCACUUACAUGCUCUGCAUUUAAGUGUUUUGCUUGUGACUUUUGCCUCCCAUAAUCUGCUCUUCAUUAUAUCCCCUCUGCCCCAUAAAUUUCUAUGCCCAACUGAAUUUUCUUUUAUUCCUUCUUUAAGGCAAUUCUAGUGAAAGGUUCAUAUGCUCCCUGUUACCUUCCCCAUGUUUCCAUCCAUUGUAAAAGCUUGCAUGCCUCUUUUAUGUCAAACGAUUUAUUCUAUUUCUCUUUUCUGCUUUUUUCAGUCUAUUUUUUUCUUACCAUUUAAUUUUACUUUAAGAUAAUUAUCCCAUCAUAUUCAACUCACAUUCAUACCUACUGUCUCUGUAUGUUUUUCUGUUCCAAUAAUGACAUCUAUUUAGGAGUUACAAAUAUCAUUUUUCCCAGUAGGAAUAUAAACAGUUUAACCUUAUUAAAUGCCUUAAGAUUUCUUUUUCCUAUUUUAUCUUUUUAUGCUUCUCUUGAGUCAUAUUUGAAAGCCAAAUUUUCUAUUCAAAUUCUGGUCUUUUCAUCAGGAAUACUUAAAAGUCCUUGUUGUCAUUGGAUAUUUUCUUUUUACCCCGUGAGGCUUAUAGUUUUUCUGGGCAGCAUGAUUCUUAUUUCGUAAUUCUUGUUCUUUUGCCCUCUGGAAUAUCAUAUUCCAAGCCCUUCAAUUCUUUAAUGUAGAAACUGCUAAAUCUUGUGUUAUUUUGGCUUCAUUAUAUUUGAAUUGAGUUUUUGGGUUUUUUUUGGGUUGUUGUUUUUUGGCUGCUUGCCAUCCUUGACCUGGAAGUUCUGAAAUUUAGCUAUAAUAUUUUUGGGAGUUUUCACUUUAGGGUCUCUUUUAGGAGGUGAUUGAUAGAUUUUUUGAAUGUCUAUUUUACCCUCUGAUUCUAGUAUAUUAGAACAGUUUUCCUUGAAAAUUUCUUGAAAGAUGAUAUCUGGGCUCUUUUUUUUUUUUUUUUUUAAUUAUAGCUUUCAAGUAAUCUAAUAAUUCUUAAAUUAUCUCUCCUGAAUCUAUUUUCCAGGUCAGUUACUUUUCCAAAGAGAUAUUUCACAUUUUCUUCUAUUUUUCCAUUCUUUUUUAUUUUGUUUGAUUCUUAAUGUCUAAUGGGGUCAUUAGUUUCCAUUUGGCCAAAACCAA